GACGAAGGUGGCGAGCGUUAUUCGGAUUUACUGGGCAUAAAGCGCGCGUAGGCGGCUCUGUAAGUCGGAGGUGAAAGCCCGCAGCUCAACUGCGGAACAGCCCCCGAUACUGCAGAGCUUGAGUGCAGGAGGGGUGACCGGAACUCCAGGUGGAGCGGUGAAAUGCGUAGAUAUCUGGAGGAACACCAGAGGCGAAGGCGGGUCACUGGACUGCAAUUGACGCUGAGGUGCGAAAGCUAGGGGAGCGAACAGG
rnacentral:rRNA from 1 species